rnacentral:rRNA from 1 species
AAAACCGAUCUGCUCGCUCCUUCUUGCUGCUGCAUCAGCGCUGUUGGAGCUUGCUCCCACGGGUCAAUCGUGCGAGGGAUUCUUCCACCUGUGAAUCUGCCUCAGGGAAACUUAUACUACGGGCAAACUCGCCCUUCACCGGAAAAACCCUACGGAGGAAAAUGAGCCAUCUUCUGACCUUGCGCUGAUGGAUGAACCCGCCUCGGAUUAGCUUGUUGGUGGGGUAAUGGCCCACGAUGAUCACCAUCCGUAACUGGUCUGACGGGAUGGACUCCUAACCGAGGCUGAGUGGGGAAUAUUGUCCUUGGGAGGCAGCCUGGGGGAAUCUGCCACGUGGUGAUGGCCUGAUCCAGGUUGGCCGCUCUUUCACCGGUGAACAUCAUGUUGGUAACCACUUAAGAAGCCCCGGAAAGCUUCGUGCCAACACCCGCGAUAAUACGAAGGGGGCUAGCGUUAUUCACAAUUACUGUUCGUGCCGCGCGCCUAGGCAGAUCGAUCAGUUAGAGCUUAAAUCCCAGUUCUCAGCCCCAGAACUGCCUCUAAUACUGCCGAUCUAGAGUUCGAGAAAGGUGAGUGGAAUCCUUGGUGUUGCGUUGAAUUUUGUAGAUAUUCAGAGGAACACAGGUGGGGUGAAGCUGCUCGGUGGCUCGAUACUGACGCUGAGGUGCGAAAGGAAUGCCGAUCAAACAGGGAUUACAUACUCUGGUUACUCUGACCCGUGAACUAUGGAAGCUUGGCGAUCGACGUUAUACUGUCGGUGGUGCUCUCACCAUUACGAUUCCUACUGGCGGAUACGUCUUAGAUAUUAUUCGACGCAACUACGGGAACCCUACCACGCCUUG